UACGAAGGUCCCGAGCGUUGUUCGGAAUCACUGGGCGUAAAGGGUGCGUAGGCGGGUCUUUAAGUCCGGGGUGAAAUCCUGGAGCUCAACUCCAGAACUGCCUUUGAUACUGAAGAUCUUGAGUUCGGGAGAGGUGAGUGGAACUGCGAGUGUAGAGGUGAAAUUCGUAGAUAUUCGCAAGAACACCAGUGGCGAAGGCGGCUCACUGGCCCGAUACUGACGCUGAGGCACGAAAGCGUGGGGAGCAAACAGG
rnacentral:rRNA from 1 species